rnacentral:lncRNA from 1 species
UCAUGUUUAGUCAUUUCAAACUUGGUUUUCUGCACCAUAGUUUUUUAUUCGUUAACUUUUUAGGUCCUUGCACUUCAUCCCUAUAUGAGUCUCAUAAAAAAAAGAUCACUGUUUAUAAUAAACUUUGAUUUUCCAAGUUCCAUCUUUUCUAACUUGUAUCCCUUCACACCUUCAAGAUAACUAAUGAAGACACAUUUAACACCUAGAGCAUAAGAUCGUUAAAAGCUAAAGCUCCAAAAACC